GCCCCAACCGCUAGUUACAAUGUUGUGUGGCUGCUAGCUCUAGUCCCAUGCGAUUCUUCUCCACUCUUAGCUUUAGUUUCUACAUACGUCAUGUGUGGAAAGAAGAUGACUUGGCUUAACAGCGAAGCCCAAUUGCGUUGCAGAUCAUAAGUAGAGGGGGACCAAGGCGAUAUUAUUGUGAUUUACCAGAGGAACGAUAUUUCCCAACUUAGAGAGAAUAGAGAUUAUCUUGUCUCAUUAAUUCAGAAUAUUAUCGGUCAA